rnacentral:rRNA from 1 species
AGAGUUUGAUCCUGGCUCAGGAUGAACGCUAGCUACAGGCUUAACACAUGCAAGUCGAGGGGCAGCAUCAUCAAAGCUUGCUUUGAUGGAUGGCGACCGGCGCACGGGUGAGUAACACGUAUCCAACCUGCCGACAACACUGGGAUAGCCUUUCGAAAGAAAGAUUAAUACCGGAUGGCAUAGUUUUCCCGCAUGGGAUAAUUAUUAAAGAAUUUCGGUUGUCGAUGGGGAUGCGUUCCAUUAGGCAGUUGGCGGGGUAACGGCCCACCAAACCAACGAUGGAUAGGGGUUCUGAGAGGAAGGUCCCCCACAUUGGAACUGAGACACGGUCCAAACUCCUACGGGAGGCAGCAGUGAGGAAUAUUGGUCAAUGGACGAGAGUCUGAACCAGCCAAGUAGCGUGAAGGAUGACUGCCCUAUGGGUUGUAAACUUCUUUUAUACGGGAAUAAAGUGAGCCACGUGUGGCUUUUUGUAUGUACCGUAUGAAUAAGGAUCGGCUAACUCCGUGCCAGCAGCCGCGGUAAUACGGAGGAUCCGAGCGUUAUCCGGAUUUAUUGGGUUUAAAGGGAGCGUAGGCGGGUUGUUAAGUCAGUUGUGAAAGUUUGCGGCUCAACCGUAAAAUUGCAGUUGAUACUGGCGACCUUGAGUGCAACAGAGGUAGGCGGAAUUCGUGGUGUAGCGGUGAAAUGCUUAGAUAUCACGAAGAACUCCGAUUGCGAAGGCAGCUUACUGGAUUGUAACUGACGCUGAUGCUCGAAAGUGUGGGUAUCAAACAGGAUUAGAUACCCUGGUAGUCCACACAGUAAACGAUGAAUACUCGCUGUUGGCGAUAUACAGUCAGCGGCCAAGCGAAAGCAUUAAGUAUUCCACCUGGGGAGUACGCCGGCAACGGUGAAACUCAAAGGAAUUGACGGGGGCCCGCACAAGCGGAGGAACAUGUGGUUUAAUUCGAUGAUACGCGAGGAACCUUACCCGGGCUUAAAUUGCAACUGACGGAAUCGGAAACGGUUCUUUCUUCGGACAGUUGUGAAGGUGCUGCAUGGUUGUCGUCAGCUCGUGCCGUGAGGUGUCGGCUUAAGUGCCAUAACGAGCGCAACCCUUAUCGAUAGUUACUAGCAGGUCAUGCUGAGGACUCUAUUGAGACUGCCGUCGUAAGACGUGAGGAAGGUGGGGAUGACGUCAAAUCAGCACGGCCCUUACGUCCGGGGCUACACACGUGUUACAAUGGGGGGUACAGAAGGCAGCUACACGGCGACGUGGUGCUAAUCCCAAAAGCCUCUCUCAGUUCGGAUUGGAGUCUGCAACCCGACUCCAUGAAGCUGGAUUCGCUAGUAAUCGCGCAUCAGCCACGGCGCGGUGAAUACGUUCCCGGGCCUUGCACACACCGCUCGUCAAG